rnacentral:rRNA from 1 species
AUGAGGCUGCCGAGCCCGUACACGGGGGUGUUCAGGGGCGGGUCGACGGCGAGGACGGGGCCGCACGCUCUGCCUCUGGCGCGGAUCAAGAAGAUCAUGAAGCGGUCGGCGCGGGACGGCAGCGGCGGCGACGGCGCCGGGGCGAGGAUGAUCUCGUGCGAGGCGCCGGUGUUGUUCUCCAGGGCGUGCGAGCUGUUCGUCGCCGAGCUGACGCGCGCCGCCUGGGACGCCACGCUUGAGGGCCGGCGCCGGACCGUGCACGCCGAGGACGUCGCCGCCGCCGUCAGGGACACCAACGUCUUCGACUUCCUCGUCGACGUCGUCAAGGCCAGGCCGAGUGACGAUGGCGUCAAUGCUGGGGACGGUGAAGGCGGCGUCGCGCCGGCCGUAGGUGUCCACGGCGGCAUGCAGGGUCGUAGGUUGUGA